UGCCAACAUUUAGAAAGUCACUGAGCUGCUGAUCCAAGAGCAAGCCUGAGGGAAAGGACCCACUUUGUUAGGACAUAAGAGAAUUCUGCCCAGUUUUUCACUCCGUUUUCUGUGUUCUUUAAUUUUUCUGAGUUUGUUUUCUUUUGAAAGAGUUCGUUGGUCUCGUGCCUUGCUUGUGCAAAUCUCUCCCUGGCAUUUAAAAAGAUAAUACUGGGUUCUUGGGGUUUUUUUAAAGAAAAAGAUGCAACAGAGCAAUCUCAAAGCCCUGCUGACUCAGCAUCACAAGUACUAAGACUGAUUAAAAACUGGUGCUUUAUUUUCCAGGUAUCCCAAUUAUUUGAGUGAGUUAAAAUAGCUGAAUGAAGCUGAACAAGGGCAGCGGGAAAAUAGGAAAGAAGUGGCAAGACAGAAAAUAUGUCCCUGAAAAUCCAGACUAAAUAAAAUUAAAGAAAGAGCCACACAAGAUAAAAAGGAGGAGCAUAACUUCUGAAGAAACUGUUCUGCUCUGCCUCAGAUUUUUCCAAUAUUGCCAAUUCUUUGUUUUGAAUCCAUUUUUUUCACUGUUAAGGGAAGAAGAAAUAUACCCCAGCCAGUCUUGUGUUCCAACUUCUUUACCUUUGUCUGCCUAACUCAGCUGGUAUUUAAUUGGUCAGCAAUAGGAGGGAAGUCUCCUUUGAGGUAAUGAAUAUUGACUGUUUAUGUUGAAAUGUCACUGUGAAAAGAAAGCCCAGCACCAAAGAGGCGGAACUCAGUGUGAGAGUUUCAGACACAAAGGAGACACCAGCAAAGCACAGGCAUUGAAAAGCAAAGCAGCUGAAAUUCAAAGAAAAGAUGAAACAGAAAUGGGCUACAUGUGUGGGAAUUUUAAGCUGUCAGUUGACAGGUGAAAAAGUCAUUAUUCCACCUGUUAGAACUAAGUGUAAUUGCUUGUUUUUCCUAAAAUAACACAGAGGCCAUGACUCAUAAUUUUUUUUAAUUGAAAAUUUGUUUAAACUUAUUUGCAAAUACUUCACUUUUUCUUUUGAGGUAAGUGGAUUAAAUUCAUUAGCCAAUUUUUCUACCUCGGACACAUGAGAAGGAAAGAACCACAUUUUCUGUGUUGUAUCAGGAAUUAGAUAAUCAAAUCUUGCAUUCAGCCACUUGCUUUUUAUCGUGAAGCAACUUGAAUAGCAACUUUGGGGUUCGACAUGCAAGUUUAUCAUCCAUUCUAUAGCACUCAUUGAUCUGGAAUGAAUAAAGGCUGUUCUCCAGCAUCAACCCACUG